GAUGAACGCUGGCGGCGUGCCUAAUACAUGCAAGUCGAGCGAACGGACGAGAAGCUUGCUUCUCUGAUGUUAGCGGCGGACGGGUGAGUAACACGUGGAUAACCUACCUAUAAGACUGGGAUAACUUCGGGAAACCGGAGCUAAUACCGGAUAAUAUUUUGAACCGCAUGGUUCAAAAGUGAAAGACGGUCUUGCUGUCACUUAUAGAUGGAUCCGCGCUGCAUUAGCUAGUUGGUAAGGUAACGGCUUACCAAGGCAACGAUGCAUAGCCGACCUGAGAGGGUGAUCGCCCACACUGGACCUGAGCCACGGUCCAGACUCCUACGGGAGGCAGCAGUAGGGAAUCUUCGGCAAUGGGCGAAAGCCUGACGGAGAAACGCCGCGUGGGUGAUGAAGGUCUUCGGAUCGUAAAACUCUGUUAUUAGGGAAGAACAUAUGUGUAAGUAACUGUGCACAUCUUGACGGUACCUAAUCAGAAAGCCACGGCUAACUACGUG
rnacentral:rRNA from 1 species